rnacentral:rRNA from 1 species
UUGAGAGUUUGAUCCUGGCUCAGGAUGAACGCUGGCGGUGUGCCUUAGGCAUGCAAGUCGAACGUUAGUCCUUCGGGACGAAAGUGGCAGACGGGUGAGUAACGCGUAGGAAUCUACCCUCUGGUGGGGAAUAGCUCGCCGAAAGGCGAGGUAAUACCGCAUAAGAACCUUAACUUAGGUUAAGGUUGAAAGGGCGUAACUGCCCGCCGAUGGAGGAGCCUGCGUUCUAUCAGCUUGUUGGUAGGGUAAUGGCCUACCAAGGCAAUGACGGAUAGCCGGUGUGAGAGCACGACCGGCCACAAUGUUACUGAAAUACGGAGCAUACGUCUACGGACGGCAGCAACCGGGAAUCUUGCGCAAUGGGCGAAAGCCUGACGCAGCGACACCGCGUGGGGGAUGAAGGCCUUCGGGUUGUAAACCCCUUUUAUUUAGAAACAUAAUGAGGGUACUGAAUGAAUAAGCACCUGCAAACUACGUGCCAGCAGCCGCGGUAAUACGUAGGGUGCAAGCGUUAUCCGGAUUUAUUGGGCGUAAAGAGUAUCGUAGGCGGUUUAGUAAGUUAUUCGUUAAAGACCGAGGCUUAACUUCGGAAGGGCGGGUAAUACUACUAGACUAGAGCGCAGUUGGGGAUAUCGGAAUGUCUGGUGGAGGGGUGAAAUCCGUUGAGAUCAGAUAGAACACCAAGGGCGAAGGCAGAUAUCUAAACUGUUGCAGACGCUGAUGAACGAAAGCUAGGGUAGCAAAAGGGAUUAGAGACCCCUGUAGUCCUAUGCUGUAAACGAUCCCUACUAGCUGGUCGGGUUUUUAACUUGACUGGCGUAAGCUAACGCGUUAAGUAGGGCGCCUGGGAAGUACGGCCGCAAGGCUAAAACUCAAAGGAAUUGACGGGGAGGCGCACAACCAGUGGAGCAUGUGGUUCAAUUCGAUACGAAGCGUAGGACCUUACCUGGGCUUGACAUUUUGCUGCAAGCCUGAAGAAAUUCAGGCCGCCUUCGAGGGAGCAAGACAGCUGUUGCAUGGUUGUCGUCAGCUCGUGUCGUGAGAUCUCCGCUUAAGUGCGGUAACGAGCGCAACCCUUGUCCUGUGUUGAAUAUCACAGGAGACUGCCUUAGUUAAACUAAGGAGGAAGGAAAGGAUGACGUCAAAUCAGCACGACGCUUACGUCCAGGGCAACACACAUCCUACAAUGGCUAGUACAAUAGGUUGCGAAGCAGCAAUGCGGAGCUAAUCCCUAAAACUAGCCUCAGUUCAGAUUGUGGGCUGCAACUCGCCCACAUGAAGUUGGAAUUGGUAGUAAUCGUGGGUCAGCAGACCGCGGUGAAUACGUUCUCGCCUCUUGUACACACUGCCCGUCAAGCGAGGAGAGUUGGGGGUACCCGAAGUUGUUCUCUUAACCUUAAUUUAUUAAGGAAAAGGAAUACCUAAGGUAAACUCAGCAAUCAGCACUAAGUCGUAACAAGGUAGCCGUUCUGGAAGGAGCGGCUGGAUCACCUCCUUUCUA